rnacentral:rRNA from 1 species
CCUACGGGUGGCAGCAGUGGGGAAUAUUGGACAAUGGGGGCAACCCUGAUCCAGCCAUGCCGCGUGUGUGAAGAAGGCCCUCGGGUUGUAAAGCACUUUCAGUGAGGAAGAACGCCUGGUGGUUAAUACCCAUCAGGAAAGACAUCACUCACAGAAGAAGCACCGGCUAACUCCGGGCCAGCAGCCGCGGUAAUACGGAGGGUGCGAGCGUUAAUCGGAAUUACUGGGCGUAAAGCGCGCGUAGGUGGCUUGAUAAGCCGGUUGUGAAAGCCCCGGGCUCAACCUGGGAACGGCAUCCGGAACUGUCAAGCUAGAGUGCAGGAGAGGAAGGUAGAAUUCCCGGUGUAGCGGUGAAAUGCGUAGAGAUCGGGAGGAAUACCAGUGGCGAAGGCGGCCUUCUGGACUGACACUGACACUGAGGUGCGAAAGCGUGGGUAGCAAACAGGAUUAGAUACCCCAGUAGUC